GGGGGUUUAUGACAAAGUUGAGCGACCUCAUGUCACUCAAACCAGCUGUAUUAAGGAAGGUGCAAGCUUUUGGGAUUUCUGUUUGGAUUUAGUUUAGGUUCAAAAGAGCACGCACAGAUCCUGAGUGUUGUCAAGCACCCGUGACUGGGAAACGGAGGCGUCCGAUCCGUAUUGGAGUCAAUUCGCCACUUAAUUGAACACAGCCUCGAAGGGAAGGGCCAUAUUUGUGGGCCUGUCUAACAAUUAAGAGUGACCACAUGGAAUGGGGGAUGAAAGGGUUAAAGAAGAACAAAUAUUGAACACAGCUUUUCUAUGAACAAACUGCAGGCAGCUGCUGCUUUGCAAGUUUCAGGGGUUACUCCAUCAUUAUCAUGGCAGGGAACAUGGCAGGAUGCAGGCAGAUGGUAGCUGAGAGUUCUACAUCUGGAUCCACAAAAAACCCUUUGAAAAGAUUCAGCACGUUGCCAUGGAGAACAUCCCACUGAAGGAAUGUAUAGAAGUAGCAGGUGUCAGCUGCCUACCAGUUGCUUUCAUCUCUAGAAAUCUGUGACUUGCAGUAUGACAAGAACAAAAGGUGACAAUACAAAGGACAAAGGGCAAGGAAUACAGACGGAGAAGCCGCUUAGAGUCUAGGAUGGCAGAGGUUCUCUUGAUCAUUUCAUUUUUGAGCGCUUGUAGAGCUUUGGUGUACCAGAGGUGCUUGAACAGCUUACCACACCACAGAUGAAUGGCCUUUGGAUUUCUCCUAAGAAAAUGUGGCUACCUGAAAUUCAACUCCAUUUUCUGGUCUUCAAUAUUUCUUUUGUGUUCAGUUUGCCAGCUGAGGAGAAGUGGCUAAGCAUAGCCUGUUACUGAUGCUAAAGCCCAAGUUCUGAACCUAACAACUCCAGCAACAUGAUCCUGUUUCAAGAGACAAAAAAGUGACUAAUGAAAGAAAACAAUUGAUGUGCUAUGUAGAGUUUAAAAGAAGGUAAAGAGAAUAAAUUAAAAGCAACAACUCUCU
rnacentral:lncRNA from 1 species